AAUUUGGGGGAACUGGUGCGAUUUUUCCUUCUGAAACGUACCAGGGCGGCCGAAGGAUUCUAGCCUUGUAUUUUUUAAGACGAGCGCUUAACAUCCGUCCCUACUGGGCCGGGAUAGCUGCGGGAAACUGCAGGUAAUACCGAAUAACGUCUCCGGACCAAAGGUGUGAUUCCACCUGGAGAGGGGCCUGCAUCCUAUUAGCUUGUUGGUGGGGUAACGGCCUACCAAGGCAACGAUGGGUAGCGGGUGUGAGAGCAUGACCCGCGUCAUUGGGACUGAGACACUGCCCAGACACCUACGGGUGGCUGCAGUCGAGAAUCUUCGGCAAUGGGCGAAAGCCUGACCGAGCGACGCCGCGUGCGGGAUGAAGGCCUUCGGGUUGUAAACCGCUGUCGUAGAGGAGGAAGUGCAGGGGGGUUAUCCCCUCUGUUUGACUUAUUCUAGGAGGAAGUACGGGCUAAGUUCGUGCCAGCAGCCGCGGUAAGACGAACCGUACAAACGUUACUCGGAAUUACUGGGCUUAAAGGGUGCGUAGGCUGCGCAGAAAGUUGGGUGUGAAAGCCCUCGGCUCAACCGAGGAAUUGCAUUCAAAACUACUGUGCUCGAGGGAGACAGAGGUGAGCGGAACUCAAGGUGGAGCGGUGAAAUGCGUUGAUAUCUUGAGGAACACCGGUGG
rnacentral:rRNA from 1 species